rnacentral:lncRNA from 1 species
UCGGAAAAUACUGACGGACACGUUCCGUCGGAAUUUCAAUUAGCCCGGGAGAACCAAACCGCUUGAAAAUUUUCGCGAAUCGGCAUUUGGUAUAUUUUAAAUAUACCGACGGAAUACCGACGAACCCGUGUCCGUCGGAAUCCACGGAAAUAAAAACCCUUCUCCUUUCUUCUUCGUUAUCUCCGCGGCCUCUCUCUCUCUCAAAACUCUCCGGCGAUUCCGGCGAUUUCGGCGACUCUCCGGCGAUUCCGGCCUCUCUUCACCGGCGAAUCCUCUCCUCACCCUCCUAUCUCUUCCCCAAACCCCAAAUCAUGUAAGAAUCAUCCCAAACCUUUUUUUUUUUCAAUUGUUUAGGGUUUUGGAAGUUGAUCUCGGAUUUUAGGUUGUUUGAUUGAACAUUUUAGGAUUGAAUGGAUAGUUUAGGAUAUAUAAGUUAGGAUUGUUGUUUUAGUUUUUUU